ensembl:lncRNA
AACCAACAGAGCGGGGCAGAGGUCCCCAGCCCCGGCGCUGACCGGGUUUCACGCUGCGGUGCGUACGGACGCCUUCUAGUAAGGUCAUCCGCCAAGUCGUACUUGUGGGAACGAGAACAGAAACCCGGCGUGGGCCAUGCUCCUGGGCUGGGAGACCUCCUCUCGGGCAGCGGAGUAUCCGAGAAGAUGCGGAGCGGGUGUGCCGGCAGUGCCGGCUCUGGGGGCUCGCCGGCCGCUUGGGAACGGAAGGGGCAGCGCGGUGGAGGACGCGCUAUAAUUAGCACGGGGCAGGAAAUAUGCUUUUCCCGCUCAAUUAAAUGCUGAUAUUAGGGGUGGGGGGGAAAUUCUUUCCUCUUUGCUGAAGCUAACGAGAGGGACAAAAAGAGCCUCUUCUCCCCUGGGUGCACCGCCACAUCAAGAGCGACACAAAGCCACGAAGUACCAGACAGGGGCAGCCUAGCCGGCUUGGCUGGAGUGGAGGGACGGGGCUCAGGGGGAAGACGGGGAGCCCCCCGCCGGUGCCUGCGAACCCGGCAGUCUCUGCCUGCGGGUGCGCACCAGCCGCCAGGUGAGGGGUUUGUGCUGAGGUGGUUCCUCCCCUAACAAGUUCCGCAGCGGAGCUCAGAAACUUUUCCAAAUGAAACUGUAGUGGCAACUGAUAGGGUAUUCUGACGGGUUUCUAACCCAACAUAUGUAGGCACGCGCGCGGGAGCCCCUCGACAAAGCCCACCCCCUUCCUUCCUCCGCGCAGAAGCUCCCGCCGCCGGCUGGGUGACCGGGCGCAGGUGCGCCUGUCACAGGGAGAGGCUGCGGGCGCGGGGCCGACGAGCGCAGGUGGGAGCAGCCCUGCCAGCGGUGUCCGGGCGCGACCCCUUGUGAAAGGGAGGCUCCGGGAGCGCCUAGCCGCGAAGCGCCGCCGCCACGGGAGAUCGCUGGGGACGGAAGGCUGGCGAGGCGGUGGCGGCUGGCUGCAGCCAGGCGUCCCCCGGCCGAGGAGAGGAGAGCCGGAGCAGCCUGCCGCCGGCUGCGGGGAGCCUCCAUCCCGGCGGUGGGCAGCGCCGCUCCGGGAUCGGGGCGGCGGGCGGCCGGCUCUCGAAGCGACGCAGGGCGGGGGUGGAGGGGGGCGACGAGGGGACUCACCCGGGCUCGGCGGGACGGAGCUGGGGCCGCCGCUGCCGCCGCCUGGAGGUGGGGCGGUCAGGUUGUUCUGGCUCUCGGGGGGCCGGGGGACGCAGCAGCCGCCGCCGGGGAGAAGCGUCGAGGCUGUGCCGGGGCGGACACGGGCUGCCGGAGGAAGAUGGUGCGCCUGGGGAAACAACAGCCUCCUCUCCCCCGCCUCUCCCCGGCGCGGGCGGUCUGCUCGCCUUUGAUUGCGAGGCGAGGGCAUCCUGCCCCCGCCGCUCCCCCCUCCCGGGAUGGUUACAUACAAAGGCUGCUUUCCAGGAACUUUCCAGGAACCGCAUCAUGUGACAGGACCCGCUCCGGCGCCUCCGCCGCGAUCGCGGCCAGCCGGGGCCGACGCACCGAGCCGCCGCCCCUGUCACGCCGGGGCAGCGGCCGCCGAACGCUGCCCCGCGGCCCCCCCGCCUCCUUCUCCUCCGCCCGCGGAGGCGCGGGCGACGCGCAGGCAAAAAUCCCUUUCAUGGACAAGGAAGGAGGCAACAACGUUUUUACAGUCCUGAGAAGUGCCUGUUACUAGAAAUGAUUUUCACUUUGUUCCUGAAAAGUAUGCCAAGUUUACUGGUGAGCUAGUAAACUGAUUUAUUUAUAUAAUAUGCAAGCUUGCGGGGGGGGGGGAAAUGUGUUUUUGACUCAGCUGAUUUUGCUAAAUUUGCUUUGAUUCACUGAAAAGAUUUACUGAUUUUUAAAGAUAGAUUUACCUAGCUAGCUGGAAGAAUACAAGGGCCUUUCCUUGCUCUCAUCAUCCUUAACUUCCCAAAGAUGCAGCACAGAAUAUCUAUUAUCCAUGGCAUACCAUUUGGUCAGUUGAAAUACCUUUCAGUUAAAAGGACAGCUAUUGCUUAUCACAUAGGUUUACUUACUGAAUGUAUUUUGACAACUGUUUACCUUAACUAGUCUAAAUAACAGUGUACAGCUGCCAUGGUUUCUCUGUCCUGGGAUUGCAGUCUGGUUCUUGAGCAGAGAAAUAUGAAUAUUGAGCCUUUAGCUCCAGCAAAUUGGAAUGAGUUAAUUGUAACUCCACAGCACAAGAAAAGUCUGCAAUGUGAACUCUUUGAGGAUUACUCACUUAGCAGUUAGGAGAAAGGUUUGCUUAUUUCACAAAGAGUUCUUAAAAUAUUCUAAAUAAAACAUAGUGAAAACAAAUAUUUCA